rnacentral:rRNA from 1 species
UGAGGAAUCUUGCGCAAUGGGGGAAACCCUGACGCAGCAACGCCGCGUGAGUGAAGAAGGCCUUCGGGUCGUAAAGCUCUGUCAGAUGGGAAGAAAUGGAUGGGGGCUAAUAUCGUCCAUCCUUGACGGUACCAUCAGAGGAAGCACCGGCUAACUCCGUGCCAGCAGCCGCGGUAAUACGGGGGGUGCAAGCGUUGUUCGGAAUCAUUGGGCGUAAAGCGCGCGCAGGCGGCUUGGUAAGUCAGAUGUGAAAUCCCGGGGCUUAACCCAGGAAGUGCAUUUGAUACUGCCUCGCUAGAGUGCGGGAGAGGAAAGUGGAAUUCCGGGUGUAGAGGUGAAAUUCGUAGAUAUCAGGAGGAACACCGGUGGCGAAGGCGACGUUCUGGCCCGAUACUGACGCUCAGGCACGAAAGCGUGGGGAGCAAACA